rnacentral:lncRNA from 1 species
UUUAUACAAGAAGCUUAGUAAGGACAAUAUGUAUCUUCAUUAUGUACUAAAUAUGAUAAUUUUAAAUAUACUACAUGAUGAAUUGGUAACAAAUGAAACUUUAAUAGAUCUAGUAUAAAAACCUACCUCCUCCUAUAACUACUAACUUCAUCAUAUUUCCGCAGUAUUUACUACGGUAGAACUCCAAGACUUGGUCGUAAAGAUCAUCAUAACCGAC